UAUCUCUGUAGAGUCUGCAUAUCAAUAAGCGGAGGAAAAGAAACUAACAAGGAUUCCCUUAGUAACGGCGAGUGAAGCGGGAAGAGCUCAAAUUUGAAAUCUUCAAGGUUUUACCUUGACGAAUUGUAGUUUAAAGAAGUGUUUUCUGUUGAAGUUUCGGUAAAAGUUCUUUGGAAUAGGACAUCAUAGAGGGUGAGAAUCCCGUAUUUGACCGUUAUUUUCAGCUGUGUGAUACACUUUCAAAGAGUCGGAUUGUUUGGGAAUGCAGUCCAAAAUGGGUGGUAAAUUUCAUCUAAAGCUAAAUAUUGGCGAGAGACCGAUAGCGAACAAGUACCGUGAGGGAAAGAUGAAAAGAACUUUGAAAAGAGAGUUAAACAGUACGUGAAAUUGUCAAAAGGGAAGCGUUUGACACCAGUGUUGUUUUCUCGAAAAUCAAUUAAAAAUGGCUUGAUUUUGUGUUGUAUUGACCUUAAAAGCUUUCUUCACUUUUUUCAUGUCUUUUUUAAUGCACUUUUCGUUUAACAAGUCAGCAUCAGUUUCUUUUGUUGUAAAAAGGUCAUUGGAAGGUGGCUUUCUUUUCGGAGAAAGUGUUUAUAGCCUUUGACUCCUGCAAUCGGAGAGACUGAGGUCUGCAGCGUAGAUCCUUCUUGGAUUAGAUUCAUUUGUGCUAAGUUAUAGCUUUUUAUAGACAACAUGUUGACUAUAUUUAGUCUUGUAACUUACUCGCUUAUGCUAAUUUUACCUACGCUUAGGAUGUUGAACGCGCACAGAGUCUC
rnacentral:rRNA from 1 species